rnacentral:rRNA from 1 species
ACUCGACUCCGUGAACGUGGAAUCGCUAGUAAUCGUGGGUCAGCCAUACCACGGUGAAUACGUUCCCGGGCCUUGUACACACCGCCCGUCACACCACGAAAGCCUGCUGUACCCGAAGCUGGUGAGCCAACCCUCACGGGAGGCAGCCAUCUAAGGUAUGGCCGGUAAUUGGGGUGAAGUCGUAACAAGGUAGCCGUAGGGGAACCUGCGGCUGGAUCACCUCCUUU